rnacentral:rRNA from 1 species
GAUGAACGCUGGCGGCGUGCCUAACACAUGCAAGUCGAACGGACCUUGCUCAACAGAGGUACUUGUACCGAAGGAGAGCGCUGGUUAGUGGCGGACGGGUGAGUAACACGUGGGUAAUUAACCUUCCGGACCGGGAUAACAUCGGGAAACUGGUGCUAAUACCGGAUACGAUUCACGGGCGGCAUCGCCUGUGGACGAAAAGAGGCCUCUCGAAGAAGCUCCUGCUGGAAGACAAGCCCGCGGCUGAUUAGCUAGUUGGUAAGGUAACGGCUUACCAAGGCAACGAUCAGUAGCCGGCCUGAGAGGGUGAACGGCCACACUGGGACUGAGACACGGCCCAGACUCCUACGGGAGGCAGCAGUGGGGAAUAUUGCGCAAUGGGGGAAACCCUGACGCAGCAACGCCGCGUGAAUGAAGAAGGCCUCGGUUGUAAGUU